GAAAGGAAAGUGCCAGCUGAGUACCAGAAUUUAUCUCCUUUUCCUUUCUUACUCAAGAUGCUCAAUGUGAUCCAUAGCUUCAGCCUCCAACCACCAUCCCUUCCCCACUGGGAUGGAUUGUCCCUCCUUAUGAAUGAAUUCUUUCUAAGCAGCGUUUUUGUGGCAGUGAUGUAAAACAGAUGUUGAGUUUCCAGUUCUGCUGUGUGUGUACCAUCCCACUCCUCAUCAUGAAUGGCUUUACCAUCACAUUUCACAUUUAUCCUGUCAAGGAACUGCUGGACCACAUGAAGAGGCUGGAUUUGUGGAACGAAAGCAACAGGACCCCCGCGGCUGAGGCAAUAGCAGGAUAUCAGUGAGGAGCCCUGGUGAGGGUCUAGUGUUGAUGGUGUAGCAGAAACCAGAGACCUUGAAUCACAUCAACGAAAAUGCAGUGAACAUUUGCAAAUAAAGCUGUUUUGGCAAAAUGUUAC
rnacentral:lncRNA from 1 species